rnacentral:rRNA from 1 species
AGAGUUUGAUGAUGGCUCAGAAUCAACGCUGGCGGCGUGCUUAACACAUGCAAGUCGCACGAGAACUCUUUAAGCUUGCUUAGAGAUAGUAAAGUGGCGCACGGGUGAGUAACGCGUGGGUAAUCUACCCUUGAAUCUGGAAUAACACGCCGAAAGGCGUGCUAAUACCGGAUAAAAUCAUUUUAACCUUGGUUUAAAUGACCAAAGGUGGCCUCUACAUGUAAGCUACCGUUUAAGGAUGAACCCGCGUACCAUUAGCUUGUUGGUGGGGUAAUGGCCUACCAAGGCGACGAUGGUUAGCUGGUCUGAGAGGAUGAUCAGCCACACUGGAACUGACACACGGUCCAGACUCCUACGGGAGGCAGCAGUGAGGAAUUUUGCGCAAUGGGGGGAACCCUGACGCAGCAACGCCGCGUGAGUGAUGAAGGCCUUCGGGUCGUAAAGCUCUGUCAAGUGGGAAGAACCUACCAAAUGAUAAUACCAUUUUUUACUGACGGUACCACUGAAGGAAGCACCGGCUAACUCCGUGCCAGCAGCCGCGGUAAUACGGAGGGUGCCAGCGUUAUUCCGAUUUACUGGGCGUAAAGGGCGCGUAGGCCGUCUUAUAAGUCAGAUGUGAAAGCCCGGGGCUCAA